CAUUUUUUAGCUGAAAUUCAGACCGCGUCGUUGAGCCGGCCGCGUCGUAGAUCUUAAACUCUCUAAAGCCUGGCGCACACGAUGCGAUUUUAGUCGGCCGAUAAAAAUCGUUUGACAUACCGAUAUACAUCGGUAUACUCCGCACACGAUUACGAAAAAAAUAUGCUCCCUGAACUGUAGCCGCCAUGUUGCCAAAUAAAUACAAGCACGUGAUCACAGCAUGAAAUCUGAUUGGUUAUACUUAAAAUUGCACCGAUAAAAAUCGUAUAAUAAUAUCAAAACGUUUUGAUGUUGUCCGAUUAAAAUCGAGCAACAAAAAUCGGUUAAAAAUGACACCGCACACACAACGAUUUUGUUAGUUUUAGUCAAACGAUUUUUAUCGGCCGACUAAAAUCGCGUCGUGUGCGCCAGGCUUAAUUCUACGACAACGCAUGCUUCAGUGCUUAACACAGCUGCGAGUGCAGUAGUUCCCUUGUGUAGACUAGUUGCUGGCAUACAGUUUAAUAGGUGGUGCAUUAAGUUGAAGAAAACUGGGUUUUUUCUUACUUGAUAAAGUUACAAAAAUUUCUAAGUAACUUGUAACUAGUUACAAAAAUAUUGAAGGAAUUUGGAUUAUGAUUGAACGCCUCUAAAUCAGAAUCCGUGCUGGAACGCAACGAUUCCUUUCUCUGGACCACUUACGCGAACAAGAAUAGUGGCGCGACUCGUCGUGCCUCCCGUGUCACAACGUGCCCAUGGUGCAGACUAUGCACCUAAGCCCUACAGCAACCAAAAUCUAAAUUUUCCAGAGCUAAAUCCUUUGCAGACGACUACUUUGCAACGGCAACUAGUUAAAUUUUUUUAAGUGUAACUUUUACCAGUAACUAGUUCCUUUUUUGGGAAUGUAACUGUAACUAGCUCCAAAAAAUGAGUAACUGUUACAGCACUGUGCAUUGCAGCUUUAAAACAGCAAGUACAUUUACUCUUUAUUGCCUGAUACUGUAAAAAUUUUCUUUGCCUGGCGUUUGCCGUAUAACGCGAAGCUUAAACUCUCUACUAUUAUUACUUAUACGUACGUCAAAUAAGUGUCAUCCGCAUACAUAUAUAUAUAUAUAUAUAUAUAUAUGUGCUCGGGAAUGUGAAAGACGAUUAGUAUGGUACGGUAACAGUACGUUUGCGAUAGCAUUAUAUCUGCUUCGCAGAUACAAAAAUCGUGUCGCGUUGUCGAAUCGCGUCCGCACAUUAAUAUUAUCAUAGGUCUAGCUAGAUGCGCUGGAGUUAGGGUUGAGAUUUUAUACAGUGUUGCAUUAAUAUAAAAG